CCUACGGGCGGCUGCAGUAGGGAAUAUUGCUCAAUGGGGGAAACCCUGAAGCAGCAACGCCGCGUGGAGGAUGACGGUUUUCGGAUUGUAAACUCCUUUUGUUAGAGAAGAAAGUGCGUGAGAGUAACUGUUCACGUUUCGACGGUAUUUAACCAGAAUGCCACGGCUAACUACGUGCCAGCAGCCGCGGUAAUACGGAAGGUUCGGGCGUUUUCCGGAUUUAUUGGGUUUAAAGGUAGCGUAGGCCGCAUGUCAAGCGUGUUGUGUACUGUCCGGGCUCAACCCGGGCCUUGCAGCGCGAACUGGCGUGCUUGAGUCCGCGGAAGGCAGGCGGAAUUCGUCGUGUAGCGGUGAAAUGCUUAGAUAUGACGAAGAACACCGAUUGCGAAGGCAGCUUGCUGCAGCGGAACUGACGCUGAUGCUCGAAAGCGCGGGUAUCGAACAGGAUUAGAUACCCUUGUAGUC
rnacentral:rRNA from 1 species